CCACUGUAGGAGACAUGGAAGAAGAUGGUGACGGGGGAAGGAUGAAGGGAAGAGGAACAGGAAAGAUACUAAGCCUAUCAUGUCUGUUUGGUCCAGGGUCUUCUCAACCCCUUCCCAGAUACGGAAGGACCCUGAAAUGCAGAACCCUAUGAGGAUGGGCUCUGAUCAUGAGUCCAGGGCCCUCCUUGAUCAUCUUUCCUGACAAAGAGAUACCAGACCCACUCUGAGGACCCAAGGGAAGGAAGUCAGGGGGUUCAGCCCCAAGUCUCCUAUUCCACCGGAGUUCUGAGUGGGUAAGGCUGAGAGGAAAUCAGGUCAUGACCAAAUUAAUCUUUUUGUUGGGGACCAAAAUCAGGGGCACUUACCACUGAGCUACAUUUCCAGUCAUUUUUCUAAUUUUUGUCUUGAGACAGUCUUGUUAAAUUGCUCACACUGGCCUUGAACUUGUCCUACCUCCUCAGCCAGAGUGCUGGGAUUACAUGUGUGCAUCAGCAUGCUGGACCUAAAUUAAUCUUAACACGACAAUGCUCUGGUCAAGUUGCUCACCUGCUCCAAAACAUUCCAAGCUCUUCAGGACACUGUUCACAUUCAAACUAGCUCUGAAGACCACAGAAGAAAUGUUACUGCAGAUUCUUUUACAUUCCUUUCUCCUAAAUUCUCAGACCCACAGUCUCACUUAAAAGAGUUGGAUUCUUUUUUUUUUUUUUUGUCUUUUUCCUUUUUAUCGGUACCGGGGAUCGAACUCAUGACUGCCUGCUUACAAGAAAGAGCUGGAUUCUGAUAUACUUUGCAGUUUUCCUCCUUCCAUGAUCUGGUUUGCAUCAGUGCCUUCUGCUUGUGCUGACACUGGAUGCAUCUCAUCUCCCUUUCUGCAUAUUUAGAGGACAUUGAACCAACCCAUUGAUCUAGAGACAGAACAUUCUCCAAGCUGUUUAGUGAUAGAUUAGGGGAUAGGAGGAGACAAGUGAUGAAGUGCAUUGGCCUAGACAUGGCCUGUGGAGACAGGAAAGAAAUUUAGUGACACAGAUUCCAUAGUUUAGUCCUGGAGUCUGACAUUUCCUGCUGUGUGAUUUUGAGAACAUUCUUUUUUUGUAAAACAGGGAUAACUCUCUUCCAUUGAAUUUAGAAGCUACUAGAAAGGAAGAAUAAGUGAACUUUGGUGACCAAAUGGAUUCCGGAAAAGAGGGGGCCAGGAUAUGGGGCACUGAGAUUCCAACAGUGUAAAUAACAGGCUAAAUCACCAAGAGGACUGGUAUAAGGAAUGGUAGGGUCCAGGAUGAGGCUAAGGAGUAGUCUAAUAGAGAUAUUCAGGAAGCAGGUAGAAAGUCAGGAUUGCAUUCAGGAUUAUUUGUUAGCUUAUUCAUUUAUUCAUGUAGCCAGGGUACCUUAUUAAGCACCUACUAUGUGAUGCUACUGUUCAGUGACCUCAGGGGAACACUGCCAAUGUAGUUAAACUGUCAUGACUGAUAAUCACUGAUCAAUGAACACACACUUUGAGUAAUUUUUUUUUCUGUGUUUGUUUUAUACUGUCUUCGAAAACCCUUGCUCAGUAAAUAUUUGCUGACCAUGGA